rnacentral:lncRNA from 1 species
CUGGCCCUUAGGUAUUCCAGUUUUCCUUUUCCAUGUUUUGUCAAUACCUUUGAAUUCAAACCUUUCAUCAUGAAAGUUGGGAUCAUUUCAAAGCAUGUCCAUCUAAGUCAUUAGUAAGAAAUGGGUAUGCAUUUUGCUCCAAGAAAAUCUACCGUGUAGGCAUUGAUGUUAUAUGUCGAUGAGCUAUUCUUUCCUUGCAUAGUGCACCUUUUAUCCAGUGAUGUAUAAUUAUAAUUUACAAUACCAAUGUGGCCAACAAGUUAAUACUUACCUUCCUCACUCAUGGUUGAUAGGUCGCUGCAAGGUUGAUAGCAGAAGAUCAUUAUCAAGGUUAGGCACACAAAUGGUAUCACUUGUCUGAUGUCCGUGUGCUCUACUGCUAUUUAAAUUCUUACAGUAAGUAAAGAUCUUGUCUAUUGCAGGUCUCUCCAUUAAUGACUUUGAUGUUCUAUCAGAUUUUAACCUCAGAUAUUCUGAUAAAGCAUAUAGGUGAGAGUAGCAUCUUAUACUUUUAUGUGUUGUUAGAUGUUCUGAUUUGAAAAUCUCAUUGAGAUGUCUAAAUUUACUUCUCCAGUUGCUUGCGGAUCUUGCUCAUAUGAGAUGUAUGAGUUUAUCUCUGGCUCUUGUUAGAUGGUAGCAAUCAGCAGGCAACUUGUUUUUUUUGCUUGCAUUACAGUAAGCAGGUUGCUUUAGAUCACCACACUACAAAUGCUCCUUAUAGCAACGUACUAUUCAAAAUAGAAAUAAAAUGUGUUGCGCCAUCUAUUCCACAGCCACUAUUUCUCAAGGUUCAAUGGUCCAUAAAAAAUACUUAUAGGCAAACAUUUUAGUACAAUGAUCUUUUUACGAUGAUACCUUGGCCGAUACAGAUCUGUCAAUUCUAUCCUGCUUCACAUGUCUGGGUAAUCUAUUUAUUCAUGGGCACAUGCUCAGCUUGACAUGUCUGAGAAAUGCUCACUCACAUAUGUUAUUUCAUGUGCUGCUAAACUAGGAUCCUUGCUUAGUAUUUAUAAUUUAUUUUAGGGCUGUUAGCAGUGGGUUAAAGUAUCUCUAGCUUGCAAUUUCUUAUUUGCAGAAGACAUUUCGUAAUGUGCAGGGAAAUUUUUUAGGUGUCAGUUGAGUGUGUGUAUGCAUCCAAUUGCUUA